ACGUACACUCCUACGGGAGGCAGCAGUGGGGAAUAUUGGACAAUGGGCGCAAGCCUGAUCCAGCCAUGCCGCGUGAGUGAUGAAGGCCCUAGGGUUGUAAAGCUCUUUUGUGCGGGAAGAUAAUGACGGUACCGCAAGAAUAAGCCCCGGCUAACUUCGUGCCAGCAGCCGCGGUAAUACGAAGGGGGCUAGCGUUGCUCGGAAUCACUGGGCGUAAAGGGUGCGUAGGCGGGUCUUUAAGUCAGGGGUGAAAUCCUGGAGCUCAACUCCAGAACUGCCUUUGAUACUGAAGAUCUUGAGUUCGGGAGAGGUGAGUGGAACUGCGAGUGUAGAGGUGAAAUUCGUAGAUAUUCGCAAGAACACCAGUGGCGAAGGCGGCUCACUGGCCCGAUACUGACGCUGAGGCACGAAAGCGUGGGGAGCAAACAGGAUUAGAUACCCUGGUAGUCCCAUGAU
rnacentral:rRNA from 1 species